GAUCCUGGCUCGGGAUGAACGCUAGCGACAGGCUUAACACAUGCAAGUCGAGGGGCAGCAUGAACUUAGCUUGCUAAGUUUGAUGGCGACCGGCGCACGGGUGAGUAACGCGUAUGCAACUUACCUAUCAGAGGAGAAUAGCUCAUCGAAAGAUGAAUUAAUGCUCCAUAAAACAGGGGUCCCGCAUGGGAAUAUUUGUUAAAGAUUCAUCGCUGAUAGAUAGG
rnacentral:rRNA from 1 species